UACACUCCUACGGGAGGCAGCAGUGGGGAAUUUUGGACAAUGGGCGAAAGCCUGAUCCAGCAAUGCCGCGUGAGUGAAGAAGGCCUUCGGGUUGUAAAGCUCUUUUGUCAGGGAAGAAACGGUGAAAGCUAAUAUCUUUUGCUAAUGACGGUACCUGAAGAAUAAGCACCGGCUAACUACGUGCCAGCAGCCGCGGUAAUACGUAGGGUGCAAGCGUUAAUCGGAAUUACUGGGCGUAAAGCGUGCGCAGGCGGUUUUGUAAGUCUGAUGUGAAAUCCCCGGGCUCAACCUGGGAAUUGCAUUGGAGACUGCAAGGCUAGAAUCUGGCAGAGGGGGGUAGAAUUCCACGUGUAGCAGUGAAAUGCGUAGAUAUGUGGAGGAACACCGAUGGCGAAGGCAGCCCCCUGGGUCAAGAUUGACGCUCAUGCACGAAAGCGUGGGGAGCAAACAGGAUUAGAAACCCUUGUAGUCCCAUGAU
rnacentral:rRNA from 1 species